GCUUGGACUGACAUUACAAGUCCUGUACUAACAAAUACUGAACAAUGGAGUUUCUGACUGUCUGGAGUUUAGUUGUCAUGGUGAUGUCCAUACACAGUGUUUGCUGUGAUGAGAUGGAUCAGUCUCCUUCUCAGGUGAAAAGACCUGGAGACACGUUUAAAUUGUCAUGUAAAAUCUCUGGGUUUGAUAUGACAAGCUACUACAUUCACUGGAUAAGGCAGAAACCAGGCAAAGCUCUGGAGUGGAUUGGGGGUAUUGACUCUGGUUCAACAGAUGCUCCAGACUACUCAGAAUCCCUGAAAGGCCAGUUCAUUCUGACUGAGGACGUGUCCACAAGCACCCAGUUCUUAGAGGCCAAGAGUCUGAGUUCAGAGGACUCUGCUGUUUAUUAUUGUGCUCGACAGACACACUGA